CUUAGAGUUUGAUCCUGGCUCAGGAUUAACGCUGGCGGCGUGCCUAAUGCAUGCAAGUCGUACGGUCUUGGUCUUCGGACCAAGAUAGUGGCAAACGGGUGAGUAACGCGUAAGUAACCUACCCCUAAGUUUGGGAUAACCCUAAGAAAUUAGAGCUAAUACCGUAUGUGGUGAUGUGGAUAAUACCACAUCACUAAAGCCGUAAGGCGCUUGGGGAGGGGCUUGCGUCUGAUCAGCUAGUUGGUAGGGUAAGGGCUUACCAAGGCGAUGAUCGGUAGCUGGUCUGAGAGGGCGAUCAGCCACACUGGGACUGAGACACGGCCCAGACUCCUACGGGAGGCAGCAGCAAGGAAUUUUGCGCAAUGGGCGAAAGCCUGACGCAGCAACGUCGCGUGGGGGAAGAAGGUCUGCGGGUUGUAAACCCCUUUUCUCAGGGAAGAAUAAUGACGGUACCUGAGGAAUAAGUCUCGGCUAACUACGUGCCAGCAGCCGCGGUAAUACGUAGGAGGCAAGCGUUAUCCGGAAUUACUGGGCGUAAAGGGCGCGCGGGCGGCUUUUUAAGUCGGGUGUAAAAUCUUCUCGCUCAACGAGAAGGGAUCGUCCGAUACUGUUGAGCUAGAGAACAGCAGAGGGAGGCGGAAUUCCCGGUGGAGUGGUGAUAUGCGUAGAUAUCGGGAAGAACACCAGCGGCGAAGGCGGCCUCCUGGGCUGUUUCUGACGCUGAGGCGCGAAAGCGUGGGGAGCGAACAGGAUUAGAUACCCUGGUAGUCCACGCCGUAAACGAUGGACACUAGGUAUAGGGAGUAUCGACCCUCUCUAUGCCGUAGUUAACGCGUUAAGUGUCCCGCCUGGGGACUACGGCCGCAAGGCUAAAACUCAAAGGAAUUGACGGGGGCACGCACAAGCAGCGGAGCGUGUGGUUUAAUUCGGUGCAACACGAAGAACCUUACCAAGGCUUGACAUGCUGGAAGUAGAAACCCGAAAGGGGGACGACCUGUAAAGUCAGGAAUCUGCACAGGUGCUGCAUGGCUGUCGUCAGCUCGUGCCGUGAGGUGUUAGGUUAAGUCCUGCAACGAGCGCAACCCCUGUCGUCAGUUGUUUUCUCUGGCGAGACUGCCUCGAGAACGAGGAGGAAGGUAGGGAUGACGUCAAGUCAGCAUGGCCCUUACGCCUUGGGCCACACACACGCUACAAUGGGUAGUACAAAGGGCAGCAAUGGAGCAAUCCGGAGCUAAUCCUAAAAACCAUCCUCAGUUCGGAUUGCAGGCUGAAACUCGCCUGCAUGAAGUUGGAGUUGCUUGUAACCGCAUAUCAGCAUGGUGCGGUGAAUACGUUCUCGGGCCUUGUACACACCGCCCGUCACGUCAUGAAAGUUGGUAACACCUGAAGUCGAUGGGCUAACCUGGUUUACUGGGGAGCAGUCGCCGAGGGUGGGACCGGCGAUUGGGACGAAGUCGUAACAAGGUAACC
rnacentral:rRNA from 1 species